GAGAAAAUUCAUUGGAUUUCAAGGAAUUAAGCAAGUAAAGGUGAUGAAACUUCUGAUAAGAGUAAGGAGAUUGUACCCGAAGAUCAGGACAAGGAGUACUUCGACUCCCGAUAUUUCAUUGCAGUGGUGGGUUUUCGUGGACCAGCCUAAUAGAGAGGGGCACGAUAAAUUCGGUUAUAUUUUACUUCGGUACGAGAGGCGCGAAGGGUAUCUCCUGAGGUAAAGCUUUAAAGUUCACUACAUGCUAAACCACCACGUGAGGGUGAACUCAGCCAACG
rnacentral:sRNA from 1 species